GUAACAAGGUCUCCGUAGGUGAACCUGCGGAGGGAUCAUUACACAACAAAAUAUGAAGGUCUGGCUUCGCGGCCGGCUGAAAUAUUUUUUUCACCCAUGUCUUUUGCGCACUUGUUGUUUCCUGGGCGGGUUCGCCCGCCACCAGGACCAAACCAUAAACCUUUUUUUUUAUGCAGUUGCAAUCAGCGUCAGUAAAAACAAUGUAAUUAAUUACAACUUUCAACAACGGAUCUCUUGGUUCUGGCAUCGAUGAAGAACGCAGCGAAAUGCGAUACGUAGUGUGAAUUGCAGAAUUCAGUGAAUCAUCGAAUCUUUGAACGCACAUUGCGCCCUUUGGUAUUCCAAAGGGCAUGCCUGUUCGAGCGUCAUUUGUACCUUCAAGCUUUGCUUGGUGUUGGGCGUUUUUGUCUCCCUCUUUCUGGGAGACUCGCCUUAAAACGAUUGGCAGCCGGCCUACUGGUUUCGGAGCGCAGCACAUAAUUUGCGCUUUGUAUCAGGAGAAAAGGACGGUAAUCCAUCAAGCCUUUUUUUCAACUUUUGACCUCGGAUCAGGUAGGGAUACCCGCUGAC
rnacentral:rRNA from 1 species